UAAGUUUUAGUUUAAGAUAAAAUAAUUCAUUUACAUUGAAUAGAUUUUAUAAAAUAAAAAAUUUAA
rnacentral:tRNA from 1 species